GUUGUACUCCCUCCGUCUGAAAUUACUUGUCAUAGAAAUAAAUAAAAGUAGAUGUAUCUAGAAUUAAAAUGCGUCUAGAUACAUAUAUUUUUAUUGUAAGUAUUUCCGGACAGAGGGAGUAGUUU
rfam:Triticum aestivum genome assembly, contig: Triticum_aestivum_CS42_TGACv1_scaffold_212427_3AS